CCCUUAGAUGUUCUGGGCCGCACGCGCGCUACACUGAUGCAUUCAACAAGCCUAGCCUUGACCGAGAGGUCCGGGUAAUCUUUGAAACUGCAUCGUGAUGGGGCUAGAUUAUUGCAAUUAUUAAUCUUCAACGAGGAAUGCCUAGUAAGCGUGAUUCAUCAAAUCGCGUUGAUUACGUCCCUGCCCUUUGUACACACCGCCCGUCGCUCCUACCGAUUGAAUGUUUUGGUGAGGAGCUCGGAUUGGCAGCAGUUGGUGGUUCGCCACCGGCUAUUGCUGAGAAGUCCUCCAAACCGCCCCAUUUAGAGGAAGGAGAAGUCGUAACA
rnacentral:rRNA from 1 species